UUAUUCUAUUGGGAAUUUGGUGUUUGUAAUAUAACUUAACAAAAGGUUCUUUUCAUAAUUAUGAUGGGAGGUUUUAAUUUAAAUAUAAAUUCUUUAAAAG